rnacentral:tRNA from 1 species
GAGGAUAUAGUUCAGUAGGAGAGCACAUGCUUAGCAUUCACGAAGCCCUGGGUUCAAUCCCCAGUUCCUCU